rnacentral:tRNA from 1 species
GGGGGUGUAGCUCAGUGGUAGAGCAUUUGCUCUGCAUAUGCAAGGCCCUGGGUUCAAUCCCCAUCAUUGCAA